rnacentral:rRNA from 1 species
AACGAACGCUGGCGGCGUGGAUAAGACAUGCAAGUCGAACGGGAUUAAAUCUGUAGCAAUACAGGUUUAGUUUAGUGGCGAACGGGUGCGUAACACGUGGGCAAUCUGCCGAGAAGUGGGGGAUAGCUCGCCGAAAGGCGAAUUAAUACCGCAUAUGAUCAGUGAAGACAUCUUCAACGACAUCAAAGCCGGGGCAACCUGGCGCUUCUUGAUGAGCCCGCGGCCUAUCAGCUAGUUGGUGAGGUAACGGCUCACCAAGGCUAUGACGGGUAGCUGGUCUGAGAGGACGACCAGUCACACUGGAACUGAGACACGGUUCAGACACCGUACGGGUGGCAGCAGUCGAGUAAUUUUUCNCAAUGGGGCAACCCGUGAAGGAGCGGCGCCGCGUGGAGGAU